rnacentral:rRNA from 1 species
GAGUUUGAUCAUGGCUCAGAGCGAACGCUGGCGGCAGGCUUAACACAUGCAAGUCGAGCGGGCGUAGCAAUACGUCAGCGGCAGACGGGGUGAGUAACGCGUGGGAACAUACCUUUUGGUUCGGAACAACACAGGGAAACUUGUGCUAAUACCGGAUAAGCCCUUACGGGGAAAGAUUUAUCGCCGAAAGAUUGGCCCGCGUCUGAUUAGCUAGUUGGUGAGGUAACGGCUCACCAAGGCGACGAUCAGUAGCUGGUCUGAGAGGAUGAUCAGCCACAUUGGGACUGAGACACGGCCCAAACUCCUACGGGAGGCAGCAGUGGGGAAUAUUGGACAAUGGGCGAAAGCCUGAUCCAGCCAUGCCGCGUGAGUGAUGAAGGCUCUAGGGUUGUAAAGCUCUUUUGUGCGGGAAGAUAAUGACGGUACCGCAAGAAUAAGCCCGGCUAACUUCGUGCCAGCAGCCGCGGU